UAGAGUUUGAUCAUGGCUCAGAUUGAACGCUGGCGGCAGGCCUAACACAUGCAAGUCGAGCGGAUGAGAAGAGCUUGCUCUUCGAUUCAGCGGCGGACGGGUGAGUAAUGCCUAGGAAUCUGCCUGGUAGUGGGGGACAACGUUUCGAAAGGAACGCUAAUACCGCAUACGUCCUACGGGAGAAAGCAGGGGACCUUCGGGCCUUGCGCUAUCAGAUGAGCCUAGGUCGGAUUAGCUAGUUGGUGAGGUAAUGGCUCACCAAGGCGACGAUCCGUAACUGGUCUGAGAGGAUGAUCAGUCACACUGGAACUGAGACACGGUCCAGACUCCUACGGGAGGCAGCAGUGGGGAAUAUUGGACAAUGGGCGAAAGCCUGAUCCAGCCAUGCCGCGUGUGUGAAGAAGGUCUUCGGAUUGUAAAGCACUUUAAGKUGGGAGGAAGGGCUAUGUAGMUUAAUACUGACAUAUUUUGACGUUACCGMCAGAAUAAGCACCGGCUAACUCUGUGCCAGCAGCCGCGGUACCC
rnacentral:rRNA from 1 species